GUGCCUCAGGCACCAUUGGCUCCUCCUCCCACCCUCUAAGUCAAGGAGUAAAGGACACCCCCUUGGACUCCCCACUUCAUAUUCCCCGCUGAUGUUCCAGAGAGAGACAGAGCAUGAACGGGGAAGGGUCAGAGAGAGAGGGAGACACAGAAUCCGAAACAGGCUCCAGGCUUGAACUCAGACACCGCGAGAUCAUGACCUGAGCGGAAGUCGGACGUUCAACCGACUGGGCCACCCAGGCGCCCCUGUCAAUUGCAUCUUAAUGAACUCGCAUAUUAGAUUGUUACCAAUGUCCGUUUCUGAGAUUUUGUCAUUUAUAGUUAUUUGUUCUGAUGCGUGUAAGAAAACAUGUUUCAUCUUCAAGGAGACUUAUACAAAGAACUUUUAGGACACGUACAGGCAUUUGACAUCUUUAAGAUUAAUAUUAAGAUGGGUAAGAAUUUUUAGAACUAAAAAGUUGCAUUGAAACAGAAGAAGAAUUAGUAACAUGGGACUAAAUGAACUGAAAAAGA